GUAAGUCCUCCAGAUAGCACAAAAUUGCUUAUUAAGUGAGACACAAAACUGUAGUGAAAGUUGGAAACAAAAGACUGGUGUGAGACUGUGUGCAGGAAGUGUGAGUCUUGGUGGAGCUGAGACAUGAGAGAAGUGAGGGACCUGUCUGAACGUUCCAUGUUUGCAGACUGAGGGACUUGUGUAAGGUGUCAGGUAUGAUCGUGUCCAAAGUCAAGGGGCGGUCUUACUUUGUUGGCUUGUGUCUGCCUCUGCAUUGGCCGACGGGCUGCUUGAGGGAGGGGUUUGGAGCAUCACUGUUCUCUCUCCAGAAUCAGCCCUGUGCCUGGCAAGUGGUAGGUGUUGAAUAAGUGUUCAGUGAGUGAGCAAUUGAGUGAGCCCAUCUCAGGAACCAGGUUCCAAGGACUGAGCAGGACUAGCAUAUGGGAAGCUGUAUCAGGACACUCAACUAUGACCACAGAGUUUCCGCCUAGGGACGGAAUGAGUAGAAGCAUCUGGGGUGAGGCAAGCCCUUGCUGAGACAUUCCAGCCGAGAAGUUUGGAGAUCUGCAGAGACCUUGAAUCCAGCAUUGCAAAAGCUUCCUGCUUCCAUUGAGGAAGAUGAGAAAGAAGCCAGCCAUCUCCCUCCUCGCUGGCCCUCAAGAAUCCUAGCUCUCAAGCCCUCAGUUGGAGCUGGACAGUGGAGGGAAGGUUCAGGUCUCUUCCAUUCUGCCCACUGGAGGAUCAUAAAGGAAAAUGGCUUACCUAGCGUGGCCUCAGACAAACGGAGGGUGCGUUUAGAUGGACAUGAACUCAGCCUUCAACUAGAUCAACCCUUGAGCUGUUCUGGACCACGUGACAUUCAGAGAUUCAGAGACUGAAUGACCCACAGCACUAGUUCCCAACACUGCUCAGGGGACUAAGUUUUUACUUGCCCUUAGAACUCCUAUUGAGGAAAUUUCCAGCUUCGCUCUGUAAGGCAGGGACGGCCAUAAUGGUUCUGUCCCAAAAGUGAGGAGCAAUGACCGGGGAGGGCCCCAGCCACUCACCUGGCCUUCCUAGCUGCCUAUUGUGGGCAAGGUGGAAGAAAGGGCUUGGGAACAUGAGAACUGUCGUUCCUUCGCAUCUCAGUUUGCCUAAGACUAUGUCAAAUUAAUUGAAACAGUAUUAGGACUGACAUUUUCUAUUUUUCUCAUAUCAACGUGAAAUGGAAUUUUUGAUAGUGACUGUGAUGAAAAUGAAACAUCAAAACAAGUUGCACUUCACAGCCCUUCCUCAUGGGUGCUAUCAAAUACAUUGAGCGCUACCGAGUUAAAAGAAAACUUGUACCAAGGAAACAUAA
rnacentral:lncRNA from 1 species